rnacentral:rRNA from 1 species
UACGUAGGGGGCAAGCGUUGUCCGGAAUCAUUGGGCGUAAAGAGCGUGUAGGCGGCCAGAAAAGUCCGCUGUGAAAACUCGAGGCUCAACUUCGAGCUGUCGGUGGAAACUUUCUGGCUAGAGUCCGGAAGAGGAGAAUGGAAUUCCUGGUGUAGCGGUGAAAUGCGCAGAUAUUAGGAAGAACACCCGUGGCGAAGGCGGUUCUCUGGGACGGUACUGACGCUGAGACGCGAAAGCGUGGGGAGCGAACAGG